ACACUGAUGGUGAAACGGUAUCAUGCUUGCCUUCCACGGCUUCAAGCGGGUAGCAAGCGGCGCGGGUUCGACUCCCGCUCAGUGUA